GUAAUGGCAAAAUUUCAAAAUUAUUGUAUUCGGUUCUUAUCAUUUUUCGAACUACUGGUCUCCCAAGGACUACCAAUAGUUCAAUCUAGAGAUGGGAAUUAUGGUUCAUCUAAGUGAUCCGAUUCUUUAAAAUCAGCUCAUCAAGAAUAUCCGCAUCAAAGACCCGUUCGCGAUCUGAAGGGUUUUUUUGAGCCAAUACUGAAUCAGAACCAGAAGAGAGAUAUGUGUUGUUCGCGAACGACCCGGAUCUUUUGAAC